AGUGAACGCUGGCGGCAGGCCUAACACAUGCAAGUCGAGCGGAAGAACGGUGAGAGCUCGCUUAUGCGGGUGGCGACGGGCGGGUGAGUAAGAAGUACAUAGCAAUCUUAUAUGACGGGGGUGAUUACGGGGGAACAGAUACGCUAAUAGUGCAUAUGAUGAACGGGAGGGAUCAGGGGAUCUAAGGAGUUUGGGUGACACUAAGAGACGACGUCGGAUUAGCUAGUUGGUGGGGUAAAGGCCCACCAAGGCGACGAUCCGUAGCGGGGCUGAGAGGAUGAUCAGCCACACUGGAACUGAGACACGGUCCAGACUCCUACGGGAGGCAGCAGUGGGGAAUAUUGGACAAUGGGCGAAAGCCUGAUCCAGCCAUGCCGCGUGAGUGAAGAAGGUCUUCGGAUUGUAAAGCCCUUUUAUUAGGGAAGAAAAGCAGUAGGUUAAUCCCUCGCUGUUUUGACGGUACCCAAAGAAUAAGCAACGGCUAACUUCGUG
rnacentral:rRNA from 1 species